rnacentral:rRNA from 1 species
UGAGGAAUAUUGGUCAAUGGACGCAAGUCUGAACCAGCCAAGUAGCGUGCAGGAUGACGGCCCUAUGGGUUGUAAACUGCUUUUAUAUGGGGAUAAAGUGUGGAACGUGUUCCCUUUUUCAGGUACCAUAUGAAUAAGGACCGUCUAAUUCCGUGCCAGCAGCCGCGGUAAUACGGAAGGUUCGGGCGUUAUCCGGAUUUAUUGGGUUUAAAGGGAGCGUAGGCCGUUUGGUAUGCUUGUUGUGAAAUGUAGGAGCUCAACUUCUAGAUUGCAGCGCGAACUGUCAGACUUGAGUACGCACAACGUAGGCGGAAUUCAUGGUGUAGCGGUGAAAUGCUUAGAUAUCAUGAAGAACUCCGAUUGCGAAGGCAGCUUACGGGAGCGCAACUGACGCUGAAGCUCGAAGGUGCGGGUAUCGAACAGG